UACGAAGGGGGCUAGCGUUGUUCGGAAUCACUGGGCGUAAAGGGUGCGUAGGCGGGCUUUUAAGUCAGGGGUGAAAUCCUGGAGCUCAACUCCAGAACUGCCUUUGAUACUGAAGAUCUUGAGUCCGGGAGAGGUGAGUGGAACUGCGAGUGUAGAGGUGAAAUUCGUAGAUAUUCGCAAGAACACCAGUGGCGAAGGCGGCUCACUGGCCCGGUACUGACGCUGAGGCACGAAAGCGUGGGGAGCAAACAGG
rnacentral:rRNA from 1 species